UGGGGAAUAUUGGACAAUGGGCGCAAGCCUGAUCCAGCAAUGCCGCGUGAGUGAUGAAGGCCUUAGGGUUGUAAAGCUCUUUCGCACGCGACGAUGAUGACGGUAGCGUGAGAAGAAGCCCCGGCUAACUUCGUGCCAGCAGCCGCGGUAAUACGAAGGGGGCUAGCGUUGUUCGGAAUUACUGGGCGUAAAGGGCGCGUAGGCGGCCUGUUUAGUCAGAAGUGAAAGCCCCGGGCUCAACCUGGGAAUAGCUUUUGAUACUGGCAGGCUUGAGUUCCGGAGAGGAUGGUGGAAUUCCCAGUGUAGAGGUGAAAUUCGUAGAUAUUGGGAAGAACACCGGUGGCGAAGGCGGCCAUCUGGACGGACACUGACGCUGAGGCGCGAAACGUGGGGAGCAAACAGAUUAGAUACCCUGGUAGUCCACGCCGUAAACGAUGAAUGCUAGACGUCGGGGUGCAUNCACUUCGGUGUCGCCGCUAACGCAUUAAGCAUUCCGCCUGGGGAGUACGG
rnacentral:rRNA from 1 species